AUGUCCCAAGGUCUUGAAGAUAUCAACAGUGACAAGAGCCCAGCUUCGAGUUCCUUUUGUUCAUCGGACAUCGUGGUGUUCUAUGUAGUCCCCACUACACUCCUGGUGGUGAUGCUAGUGGAUCUGCUGGUGAUGCUGGUGGAUUUGGUGAUGCUGGUGCUGCUGCGGCUUCCUGCUCUGUUUGAAGCCUCACAGUGCCUUCUUCCAAUCUUUGAAGAUAAGUUGGAAUUCAAGGUAGAAAAUAUUUUGUGGAAUGCCACUUCCUAUAGGAAGGGUAAUAGGCUUCCCAAAAUUCAUUCAUCUAUAGAAAAACGUUCCGACUUUGAUGAAGUACCUGUUAUGUUGUCCUUGAUGAGGAAUGCUUCAGGAGGAUGGUCGUCACAUAAGAUGCAGCAGCAAAAUCAAAACACAGAAGGCAGAAGAUGGCAAGAGAAUUUUCAAGAUAUCAACAUCAAAAUCAAAACACCGAAUUGUUAG
rnacentral:rRNA from 1 species